AGAAGCAGGCCACUAAGCUCCUGGCUUUUAAAGCAGCUUCUUUGCGAGAGGAUGGUCUGGGCUGUUCAGGUGAAUGCGGGGAGGUCAGCAGAAACCCUGCCUGCAGGUCCCUCGAUGUCUUCAAUUCCCAGGUGAGGUCAGCAGGCUCCAGGUGGCCUGAAAGAACAGGAGCUCCCGGAUCAGAGCUUUCGGAGUUCAAGUGAACCAACAUUCUUUUAAGCAUAUUCUAGAAAAAAAAAAAAUCCAAAAAUCUAUAAAGUUCAAAAGAGACCAAAUCUAGUUAUUCUCUUCAGUUUAUCCCUUAGUUACUGCACAUGAUUGUGUGAGUUGUUACUUCCAGCCGUGAGUAGUUCUUUGUGCUAUGGGAAAGCAGCCCUCAGGCAGAGAUGGCCCCUGACUCCCACCAAAGGGGAUGGAACUUUUUUUGUCACUUUGAUCAGUUCUUUAAACAACCCGGGGUAGGUAUAUUAGAAUUUGGAGAUUUAAAAAUUCUAGAUAAAAAAAUAAAAGGCUAUCGAUGUACUAAAAGUAUAACUAUUGCCUACCCCAGGACUGGGUGUCAGAUGGCUUAUUGGGCCCUGAAUUAUUUUCUGCCAGUGCUGUCUUUUCACUUGAAGAAAGAGUGAAAACCAGGUUCAGACUGUGACCAGACGUUCUGAGUGCUCAAACACAUCAAGAACUCGGCCCUGGAGCUUCUGUCUUGUCUCAGCCCUGGUGCCAUUCUUGGAGAGCAGCUGCUGUUUCGAUGUGCCCUGUUUUAUGGCAUGGAGAGUAUGCAGUCUGCUUUCACCAAUUGGAAUUCGGGCCUAUAGAAGAAAUAGAAACUUGGCAAUGAGACUAACCUGGCUUCAACUGGAUCCAGCAGUGAUCAAAGGGCCUCUGCCUAUGGCUGUGUCUCUGCCCGUCCAUACCUGGGCCCACCAGUGCCACACCAGGAGGAGCAGGCCAAGCUGGAUUCUGUUCUGCUGCCCAUAUCUGUAUCCCAC